rfam:Triticum aestivum genome assembly, contig: Triticum_aestivum_CS42_TGACv1_scaffold_223124_3B
AUAAUACUCCCUCCGUCCGGAAAUACUUGUCGGAGGAAUGGAUGUAUCUAGACGUAUUUUAGUUCUAGAUACAUCCAUUUUUAUGCAUUUCUCCAACAAGUAUUUCCGGACGGAGGGAGUAUUUC